rnacentral:lncRNA from 1 species
UGAGGAUUUUGCUUGAGGUUAAGCAAACGCUUAAGUGUCAGGGUAUCUGAUAAACCGUAAUUUAUACAUAUUUUUAUCCCAUGCUUAGCACAUUUAUGGAUGAUUUCUCCUUAGAUUUGGUGAAAUUGAUGCUCUUGAUCCUUUAGUUUCAUGUUUUAUACUUAGGUGAGCAUAGGAGAGAAAAAGAGCGAGAAACGGGCUAAAAACGGAGAAAAUGGACCAACAUGGGAAAUCAACACAGCCUGGACUUCCUCAC